AGUGAACGCUGGCGGUAGGCCUAACACAUGCCAGUCGAACGGCAGCACAGUAAGAGCUUGCUCUUACGGGUGGCGAGUGGCGGACGGGUGAGGAAUGCAUCGGAAUCUACUUUUUCGUGGGGGAUAACGUAGGGAAACUUACGCUAAUACCGCAUACGACCUACGGGUGAAAGCAGGGGAUCUUCGGACCUUGCGCGAUUGAAUGAGCCGAUGUCGGAUUAGCUAGUUGGCGGGGUAAAGGCCCACCAAGGCGACGAUCCGUAGCUGGUCUGAGAGGAUGAUCAGCCACACUGGAACUGAGACACGGUCCAGACUCCUACGGGAGGCAGCAGUGGGGAAUAUUGGACAAUGGGCGCAAGCCUGAUCCAGCCAUACCGCGUGGGUGGAGAAGGCCUUCGGGUUGUAAAGCCCUUUUGUUGGGAAAGAAAAGCAGCAGGUUAAUACCCCGCUGUUCUGACGGUACCCAAAGAAUAAGCACCGGCUAACUUCGUG
rnacentral:rRNA from 1 species